rnacentral:rRNA from 1 species
UUGACAGAUUGAUAGCUCUUUCUUGAUUCUUGGGUGGUGGUGCAUGGCCGUUCUUAGUUGGUGGAGUGAUUUGUCUGGUUAAUUCCGUUAACGAACGAGACCGUCGCCUGCUAAAUAGUUCCGCGAAUGGUUUUUCAUUGGGGCUAGCUUCUUAAAGGGCCUUUCGUGUUUAACGAUGAGGGAUUAGGGGGGCAAUCACGUGUGUGAGACCCACA